rnacentral:rRNA from 1 species
GGAGCUCUCCNNUAUGGUCGACCUGCAGGCGGCCGCGAAUUCACUAGUGAUUAGAGUUUGAUCCUGGCUCAGAUUGAACGCUGGCGGCGUGCUUAACACAUGCAAGUCGAACGUGAAAGUCCUUCGGGGCGAGUAAAGUGGCGCACGGGUGAGUAACGCGUGGAUAAUCUACCCUUAAGAUGGGGAUAACGGCUGGAAACGGUCGCUAAUACCGAAUACGCUCCCGAUUUUAUCGUUGGGGGGAAAGAUGGCCUCUGCUUGCAAGCUAUCGCUUAAGGAUGAGUCCGCGUCCCAUUAGCUAGUUGGCGGGGUAACGGCCCACCAAGGCAACGAUGGGUAGCCGGUCUGAGAGGAUGACCGGCCACACUGGAACUGGAACACGGUCCAGACUCCUACGGGAGGCAGCAGUGGGGAAUAUUGCGCAAUGGGCGAAAGCCUGACGCGGCGACGCCGCGUGAGGGAUGAAGGUUCUCGGAUCGUAAACCUCUGUCAGGGGGGAAGAAACCCCCUCGUGUGAAUAAUGCGAGGGCUUGACGGUACCCCCAAAGGAAGCACCGGCUAACUCCGUGCCAGCAGCCGCGGUAAUACGGAGGGUGCAAGCGUUAAUCGGAAUCACUGGGCGUAAAGCGCACGUAGGCGGCUUGGUAAGUCAGGGGUGAAAUCCCACAGCCCAACUGUGGAACUGCCUUUGAUACUGCCAGGCUUGAGUACCGGAGAGGGUGGCGGAAUUCCAGGUGUAGGAGUGAAAUCCGUAGAUAUCUGGAGGAACACCGGUGGCGAAGGCGGCCACCUGGACGGUAACUGACGCUGANGUGCGAAAGCGUGGGUAGCAAACAGGAUUAGAUACCCUGGUAGUCCACGCUGUAAACGAUGGGUGCUGGGUGCUGGGAUGUAUGUCUCGGUGCCGUANCUAACGCGAUAAGCACCCCGCCUGGGGNAGUACGGUCGCAAGGCUGAAACUCNNA